rnacentral:rRNA from 1 species
UACAGAGGUCUCAAGCGUUGUUCGGAUUCAUUGGGCGUAAAGGGUGCGUAGGCGGCGCGGUAAGUCGGGUGUGAAAUCUCGGAGCUUAACUCCGAAACUGCAUUCGAUACUGCCGUGCUUGAGGACUGGAGAGGAGACUGGAAUUUACGGUGUAGCGGUGAAAUGCGUAGAUAUCAUGAGGAAGACCAGUGGCGAAGGCGGGUCUCUGGACAGUUCCUGACGCUGAGGCACGAAGGCCGGGGGAGCAAACGGG